UGCAAGCGCCUUUUUCAGAAAACCCCGUAAAGGCGAAUCCGACUCAUGUUCCCACCAAGUGUCUCCCUCCUGUUGCUGUCCAAUUUUCCCUUCACUUGCAAUCUACUUUUUCCUCCCCGCCUUCUGACACUCCCCCCCCCCCCGUACCGCACUUCUUCCUGGACUUUGCAUCUAAACGCAGCAACCUUGCAUACCCUCGGAGCAGGCAAAGCCAAGAGAGGCAACGAUGAACAUUGAACAUGAAAUCAGUCUUUUAGUUGAAGAAAUCCAACGAUUGGGGACCAAAAACGCUGAUGGAAUAUUGAGUGUGAAGUUUGGGCAAUUCUUGGCCGAUGCAUGAAAAAUGCAAAGCCAACCCUUUGAAGCAAUAGUGCGGGUACUCUUAAAGCUCUAAAACUGAAGAAAGAUCGUUGAAGGUCCUGGAUAGCUGCUUCGCCUGCAA